AGUUUAAAUGGCACCAAAUAAGAAGGAUCAAUAGGAAUAAUGAGGGAUAUUUGGAUUAACAGAAGCUAAUACUAAAGAAUAUGGAGCUUUUGAGAUCAGUAAGCUUAUUAUAAGAGUCAAGGUGGCUACGAACUUGAUUGAAUAUGUAAAAAAUGUUUGUUUUGAAGGAAUCCAAAACUUAGCUUUUUAGUAUCUCUCUCAUUCACAUAUGAUUUUCCUUCCUUUCACACGUACAAAAAAUUUAAUGUAGCAAAUUCUUUUUAGCAAAAACCUACUCUUCACUCAUUUUAAACAUGUCAAUAAACAAAAAUAAACUAGUUCAGCAUAUCAGUUAUGAGGCCUUUGUCUUCAUUUUGUUUAAUCAUAUUUGUGGCAGCUUGGUGGAUUUUUAUACUCAAUUUGGAGCUAUAAAAUGAAGAUGCUGAUUAUUAUUUUUUACUUUUUUCCCCAGGGAGGCUAUUUAUCUGGAGAGAUAAGACAUUUUCAUUCACUGAUAAACUUGAUAAUGAUGCCUGUAUUAAAAUUUUAUUCUGUUCUUAUUUUAGCAGCCAUAUCAACCAGUUUAUCCUUACAAUGCCCCAGAACAAUACCCUCCUUCUUCUUAGCCAUCAUUUUGAAUAUUAGUAACCCUAGGACAUGAUUAUGGCGGUAAGCUGGAACUAGUGACAUUUUAUUCUUCAGAUGUAUCAAUGGUGGUGUUAAAACUAGAGAAAACAAAAACAAGAUAUUAAAACAAAAGCAGGGAUGCCUGGGUGUCUCAGGGGUUGAGAGUCUGCCUUCUGCUCAGGGCAUAAUCGCAGGGUGGGGAUAGAAUCCACACUGGGCCCCUUGCAGGGAGCCUGCUUCUCCCUUGGCCUGUGUCUCUGCCUCUGAGUGUGUAUGUGUGAGUGUCUGUGUGUGUGUGUGUGUGUGUGUGUCUCAUGAAUAAAUAAAUAAAAUCUUAAAAAAAAAAAAAAAAGAAAGAAAGAAUGAAAGCAGCCCCAGUUUAGGAUUGGAGCCUGGUGUAGUUCUCCUAAAGUGUGGUUAUUUAUCUCAAUGUUUCCAAAGGAAAAUGUCCUGGUGUGAUGAAGGAGCAAGGAUUUGGGCUGGGAACACUUUUGUUUGUGUUCUGGUUCUGAGGAUUACUUUCGCAUGACCUUGAACUAUUCCUUCUUUUUUUUAAAACUUCUUUCUCAUGGACAAAACAGGCAUAUGAUGACACUUCAUUAAUUCAUAGAAUCUGUAGCUAUUAAAAGGUAUAUUACAUAAAAAACUUAGUUGGAAUUGCUGUAAUUUACAGCUGCAGCCUGCCCUGCCUCUAAAUCUGUGCCCAAUAUUAUUUAAAACUUUAUCUUCUAAAAAUGUAAUCUUUGGAGCCACUGCAUCAAUAAUAUCUGGGAAAUUGUCAGAAAUGUAGAGUCUAAAACCUCACCUUGACCUACACAACAUCAGAAUCUACAUUUUAAUAAGAUCUCUGUAUGGUCAUAACGCAAUAAACUUUGAAACUUCCUAGGGGAUUCCGACAAGCAAUGAGAAUGGGGACAGCUGCUCUAAUAUAAUACCAAUAAUAAGAAAUGGAAGUAUUUCCAAUUUGAUUUUAAAAUGUCAAUUUUACCUAAAACAAUAUUAGAUGUUCCAAAUUCUAUGCAAGUUUCAUUAUUUCACUGAAAACUAAAGCAGUUUUUUUGGAACUAAAAGAAGACUGUCUUGCAAUUCAGAGAUGAAACUGUUCUAGAGGAUUCCAUUAUUUUUAAUUGCACAUGGAGAAUUCAUUCACCUUGAAUUCCCUGUUGCCAUUAAUGACAGAACAAAGAAUCUAAACUUGAUUCCAUAAGCAUUAUGUAUCGCUGAGUAUAUUAGAGCAAGGAGGAGGAAUAUACUAAAACUAUUAUUUGGCAAAAAUUAAUUUGGAUGAAAUGAAUAGAGUAUAGUUGAGCAGAGAAGUGGUGGAACUGAUGUCUUGGUGAUAGACUCUGGAGAAAUAUGAGAGAGAGACCCUACGAAAAGGCAAUCAAUAGAUUUGAUGCUGGGUUGGAUGAGACACUAAAUCAGGGAAGGAGGGGGGAAAAACAGAUGCAAGUUAUCAGAAUUGGAUUAGCAAGUAAAAGUGCUGAGCAAUAUGUGACAGUGCUCUGUUGUUGCCCAUUUGUUUGCUGGAUCUGUUGUCAUUCUUCAGGAAGUUCGGCUUAGUGCAUGUUUUGCUAGGUUUCAGUAGGGAUGUUAAAAAUACUCUGGCUAUGUUAAGUUUGAAAGACAAUAGCAGUUAAAUUGAAAAGUGACCAGGGGAGAAAAAGAAGACAAUAGAAGUUCAUUCAAUCCAUUUUUCUAUAAUGAUUCGGUAUUUUUUAAUUCUCCAAGGUAGUAAUAAAAGUAAUCCCUUGAUAUGUAACUAAUUUGGCUAGGAGAUUUGAAGACAUGGAAAUAAAGGAAUUUG
rnacentral:lncRNA from 1 species